rnacentral:lncRNA from 1 species
AUGAAUUGAAUCACAAAGGAGUGUCAGAGGAACAGCUGUGCGCUCUAUUUUGUAUUAUGAAGUUCUGCAUUUUAUCUAAUUCAGAUUCUCCUAUGUACAGGGGAAAAAAUAAUGAACAUAGUAAUGUAUAUAGAAGAAAGAGAAGUAAGAAUAUUUCAAAUGCUGCUACUGUCUGUAAUCACCUGAAAUGCAUUUAAAUGUAGCAGCUGGAGAGAGGUGUUGUGCAAAGAUGCUUUGCCACCUAUGCUGUGGCAGUCUUGAUCUUAAGUAUUUUCUGUGCAUGCUCGAUAGUUAUGGGAGCAGGAUGCUAUCUAAUGUAUCCUCUAACUGCUGGUGUAAUGGGAAGCAUGUGUUCCCUUAGCAUCUGCUGCCAGAUGCUGGCAAGCACUUGGGGACUGAGGCCAUAACCUUGUCCCUCGCUGUUGGGCAUGCUGCCACCAGUAUAGGUGGCUGAUUUGUACAGUUUUUAGGCCAGCUGAGAAUAGUACUUUGUUUUUUUGAAUAUUUUUAGUUUGCUGCUGUUUUCAUUUGCGCAUUUCAGUUGCUUACCAGACCAGUGUCAUGACUUUAGGAGGAAUGUUCCUAGGUUGAUGCUCCUGCUACCAUGUUAGGACAUUUUCACCUCCUGCAUCUUUUUAUACGUCUAUUUGAAAGAGCUGCCUAUGUUCCUCUGACAGGUUCUCUGAAGAAGCAGCAACUGUUUUUGAGGUAUCAGUCUACUCAGAUUAGAUCUUCUCGCAUGGAUCUCAAAGCUAAUGAAUCUUUGAGGACGCUCCAGUCAGCAUCGUCCCUCUGUAUUCCAAAUGACGUACUGGAUCUUCAUGCUGUUGUGGAAAAGGCUCCAUUGUUAUCUCCCCUCCAUCGUAAGAGAUAUGAAGUGCAGUUCUUUCACUGUCUUAAGACCUUCAGGAAUAUUUUCACAUUUUGGAAGAGUUACCCUCACCUGUUAGGAAAGGAACAUUGAAUAAUGUCAGCACAACAACUAUG